AGUGGAGAAAGCCCUAGCCGAUUGUGGAGAGGAGGAGAAAGAAUUGAGCGAGCCGAAGGUUGCAAAGCUGAAGCUUUGACCGGUCGAGGAAUCUCUUCAUAUUCAGAUGAUGAAUAUGGGUUUGUUGGGUGCUGGCCUUGCUGGGCCAGCGGGUCUAGAUCUACGGCAUUGGGACAUCAACAAUCUUUUGCCUUGAUGAUUCCCAGUGGGUACUAUGGUCCCUGAAGGCUGAAGUUACCCACAAGCUCAUGCACAUUAGAGAACAAAAAUGAGAGGCCUCACUUGAUGAAAAACCGGAGCUAGUUAAGACCCACCGUCGCAGCAUUGAUCAUGGUACCCGAAAGGGUUGGCAGUGUCAUUGGGGGUUUUCAAGGGCAAGACAUUCAAUCAAGUUGAAAUCAAGCCUGAAAUGAUUAGCCAUUCUCCAGCUGAGUUCUCAAUCUCAUACAAGCCAGUGUAAAGCACAGUAGGCCUCGUAUUGGUGCCACCCUCUCCUCCAGGCAAACUGUCUCUGAUCCCCAUGGCCUUGCUCGAGAUCUCAAUGUCUGGAUGAACUUGCUUCAAUACCUUGAAGAUGUAGAUCUUGUAGGUCCUUCUUCUUCUUCUUCGUCUUCUUCUUCUUCUUCUUCUUCUUCUUCUUCUUCUUCUUUUUGUCUUCGGCAACUGCUCCGCCCUUCUUGGGUAGCUUCUACCCCGCCUUCGGCUUCUUCUUCGCCGGAGCUUUCUCGGUGAUGGUGCUCUUCUUCUUCGCUGCCGGCUUCUUCUCAACAUCAUUAUUGUGCACAAUAUUAGGGACGAUGGUUUCAAUGAUGGUUUCAUCACUUCCUGAAUCUUGAGGGAUAUCAGAAAGAUUCAGGUCAAUCAUAGUCUCGGGUUGAGGCUUCUCAAAAGAUGGUUUUGUGACUUAGAUCUUGAUCACUCUCGUGUGGGUUCUCCUGAGCCAAAGAACUACAAGAUGAUAAAGUUUGAGAUUGAGAGAGAGAUCUAGGGUUUUUUCAAAUUGAGAACCUUUUCAGUUUAUAAUAUUCUCAAUUUUA